rnacentral:rRNA from 1 species
AAAGCAGGUCAUAGUGAUCCGGUGGUUCUGAAUGGAAGGGCCAUCGCUCAACGGAUAAAAGGUACUCCGGGGAUAACAGGCUGAUACCGCCCAAGAGUUCAUAUCGACGGCGGUGUUUGGCACCUCGAUGUCGGCUCAUCACAUCCUGGGGCUGAAGUAGGUCCCAAGGGUAUGGCUGUUCGCCAUUUAAAGUGGUACGCGAGCUGGGUUUAGAACGUCGUGAGACAGUUCGGUCCCUAUCUGCCGUGGGCGCUGGAGAACUGAGGGGGGCUGCUCCUAGUACGAGAGGACCGGAGUGGACGCAUCACUGGUGUUCGGGUUGUCAUGCCAAUGGCACUGCCCGGUAGCUAAAUGCGGAAGAGAUAAGUGCUGAAAGCAUCUAAGCACGAAACUUGCCCCGAGAUGAGUUCUCCCUGAGACUUAA